GAUGAACGCUGGCGGCGUGCCUAAUACAUGCAAGUCGAGCGAACGGACGAGAAGCUUGCUUUUCUGAUGUUAGCGGCGGACGGGUGAGUAACACGUGGAUAACCUACCUAUAAGACUGGGAUAACUUCGGGACACCGGAGCUAAUACCGGAUAAUAUUUUGAACCGCAUGGUUCAAAAGUGAAAGACGGUCUUGCUGUCACUUAUAGAUGGAUCCGCGCUGCAUUAGCUAGUUGGUAAGGUAACGGCUUACCAAGGCAACGAUGCAUAGCCGACCUGAGAGAGUGAUCGGCCACCCUGGAACUGAGACAGGGUCCAGACUACUACGGGAGGCAGCAGUAGGGAAUCUUCCGCAAUGGGCGAGAGCCUGACGGAGCAACGGCGAGUGAGUGAUGAAGGUCUUCGGAUCGUAAAACUCUGUUAUUAGGGAAGAACAUAUGUGUAAGUAACUGUGCACAUCUUGACGGUACCUAAUCAGAAAGCCACGGCUAACUACGUG
rnacentral:rRNA from 1 species